rnacentral:rRNA from 1 species
AGAGUUUGAUCCUGGCUCAGGAUGAACGCUAGCGAUAGGCUUAACACAUGCAAGUCGAGGGGCAGCAUGGUCUUAGCUUGCUAAGACUGAUGGCGACCGGCGCACGGGUGCGUAACGCGUAUGCAACUUGCCUCACAGAGGGGGAUAACCCGUCGAAAGACGGACUAAUACCGCGUACACUCCACUUUGGGCAUCCAAAGUAGAGGAAAUGAAAUUCGCUGUGAGAUAGGCAUGCGUCCCAUUAGCUAGUUGGUGAGGUAACGGCUCACCAAGGCGACGAUGGGUAGGGGAACUGAGAGGUUGAACCCCCACACUGGUACUGAGACACGGACCAGACUCCUACGGGAGGCAGCAGUGAGGAAUAUUGGUCAAUGGGCGAGAGCCUGAACCAGCCAAGUCGCGUGAAGGAUGACUGUCUUAUGGAUUGUAAACUUCUUUUGUAGGGGAAUAAAGAGGGGCACGUGUGCCUCAGUGAAUGUACCCUACGAAUAAGCAUCGGCUAACUCCGUGCCAGCAGCCGCGGUAAUACGGAGGAUGCGAGCGUUAUCCGGAUUUAUUGGGUUUAAAGGGUGCGUAGGCGGCCUGUUAAGUCAGCGGUGAAAUCUAGGAGCUUAACUCCUAAAUUGCCAUUGAUACUGGCGGGCUUGAGUGUAGAUGAGGUAGGCGGAAUGCGUGGUGUAGCGGUGGAAUGCAUAGAUAUCACGCAGAACUCCGAUUGCGAAGGCAGCUUACUAAGGUACAACUGACGCUGAAGCACGAAAGCGUGGGUAUCAAACAGGAUUAGAUACCCUGGUAGUCCACGCAGUAAACGAUGAUAACUGGGCGUAUGCGAUAUACAGUAUGCUCCUAAGCGAAAGCGUUAAGUUAUCCACCUGGGGAGUACGCCGGCAACGGUGAAACUCAAAGGAAUUGACGGGGGCCCG